rnacentral:lncRNA from 1 species
UCCUAAUAAACAAGCUGGAGUAGCCAUUCUAUUACCGAAAAAAAAAAUCAACUUUCAACCAAAAGUUAUCAAAAAGGAUAAGGAAGGGCACUUCAUACUCAUCAAAGGAAAAAUCUACCAGGAAUUACUCUCAAUUCUGAACAUCUGUGCUCCAAAUGCAAGGGCACCAACAUUCAUAAAAGAAAGUUUACUAAAGCUUAAGGCACACAUUGCACCUCACACACUAAUAGUGGGAGACUUCAACACCUUACUUUCAUCAAUGAACACCUCAUGGAAACACAAAGUAAACAAGGACACAUCGCAACUAACAGAAGUUAUGGACCAAAUGGAUUUAACAGACAUCUAUAGAAUAUUUUGCCCUAAAGCAAAAGAAUAUACUUUCUUCUUAGCACCUCAUGGUACUUUCUCCAAAAUUGUCCAUAUAAUCGGUCACAAAACAGGCAUCCAGAGAUACAAGAAUAUUAAAAUAAUCCCAUGCAUCCUAUCAGAUCACCACGGACUAAGGCUGAUCUUCAAUAACAACAAAAAACAAUGGAAAGAACAUAUACACAUAGGAACUGAACAAUGCUCUACUCAACGAUAACUUACUUGGUCAAGGAAG